rnacentral:rRNA from 1 species
AAUGAACGCUGGCGGCAUGCCUAACACAAUGCAAGUCGAACGAAGCCUUCGGGCUUAGUGGCGCACGGGUGCGUAACGCGUGGGAAUCUGCCCUUGGGUUCGGAAUAACAGCGAGAAAUUGCUGCUAAUACCGGAUGAUGACGUAAGUCCAAAGAUUUAUCGCCCAAGGAUGAGCCCGCGUAGGAUUAGCUAGUUGGUGAGGUAAAGGCUCACCAAGGCGACGAUCCUUAGCUGGUCUGAGAGGAUGAUCAGCCACACUGGGACUGAGACACGGCCCAGACUCCUACGGGAGGCAGCAGUGGGGAAUAUUGGACAAUGGGCGAAAGCCUGAUCCAGCAAUGCCGCGUGAGUGAUGAAGGCCUUAGGGUUGUAAAGCUCUUUCACCCACGACGAUGAUGACGGUAGUGGGAGAAG